rnacentral:rRNA from 1 species
GGGUUGUGAGGUUAAGCGACUAAGCGUACACGGUGGAUGCCCUGGCAGUCAGAGGCGAUGAAGGACGUGCUAAUCUGCGAUAAGCGUCGGUAAGGUGAUAUGAACCGUUAUAACCGGCGAUUUCCGAAUGGGGAAACCCAGUGUGAUUCGUCACACUAUCAUUAACUGAAUCCAUAGGUUAAUGAGGCGAACCGGGGGAACUGAAACAUCUAAGUACCCCGAGGAAAAGAAAUCAACCGAGAUUCCCCCAGUAGCGGCGAGCGAACGGGGAGGAGCCCAGAGCCUGAAUCAGUGUGUGUGUUAGUGGAAGCGUCUGGAAAGGCGCGCGAUACAGGGUGACAGCCCCGUA